rnacentral:rRNA from 1 species
CCCUAUGGGGUGCAGCAGGCCGAGAAGGAAAGGCCCGAACUGCUCAAUCGGAAUGUCGCGCAGUUCUUCCAGUUCGUUCACGACCCGCAUCGAAAUUCGUUCACUCGCGGUGCUGAGAAGAUUCGUGUCCACGCUUGCGAUGGCACAACCGCUUUUUUCCAAGGUGCGGCCAAUCCUGGCGUCGAAGGUGAACUCCGUUCCGAUUUCCCAGCCCAAGCGAUGGUUCACGUCCCGCAGCAGCCGAUCUUUUUCUUCAGGCUUUAUAAAGCCGCUUUUGAAGUCGUCAUAAGCCGAGAACCAUUCCAUGUUGGGUGCGAUAAAGGUCGCGAUGUACCGCUCCAGGGGCAUUCUUUCGCGCCAAUACCGGCAGAAGAUGUCGGGCAGCUCCGAAUUGGCGGGAGAGC